rnacentral:rRNA from 1 species
AGCGAACGCUGGCGGCAGGCCUAACACAUGCAAGUCGAACGAACUCUUCGGAGUUAGUGGCGGACGGGUGAGUAACACGUGGGAACGUGCCUUUAGGUUCGGAAUAACUCAGGGAAACUUGUGCUAAUACCGAAUGUGCCCUUCGGGGGAAAGAUUUAUCGCCUUUAGAGCGGCCCGCGUCUGAUUAGCUAGUUGGUGAGGUAAAGGCUCACCAAGGCGACGAUCAGUAGCUGGUCUGAGAGGAUGAUCAGCCACAUUGGGACUGAGACACGGCCCAAACUCCUACGGGAUGCAGCAGUGGGGAAUCUUGCGCAAUGGGCGAAAGCCUGACGCAGCCAUGCCGCGUGAAUGAUGAAGGUCUUAGGAUUGUAAAAUUCUUUCACCGGGGACGAUAAUGACGGUACCCGGAGAAGAAGCCCCGGCUAACUUCGUG